rnacentral:sRNA from 1 species
GGUGAACCUGCGGAAGGAUCAUUACCGAUGUGAAAGAAUCCAAGGUUAAACAUCAUUAACCAGUGUGAACUGUGAAACAACUCUUUAGGGGUCGGCACAGGCGUGUGUCGUUAAAUGGCGGAUAGGUUCCUUCCGCCAGCCCCGCCAUUGUGUUUAUGAUAUCACUUUGAACGUUAAAGACUGAGAACGUAUGUAUCAUGCAUUAAAUGUAUGAGAAAGAAGGAAAGAAAAAUGAGAGACAACUUUUGACGGUGGAUCUCUUGGCUCACGUAUCGAUGAAGAACGCAGCCAGCUGCGAUAUGUAGUGUGAAUUGCAGAAUUCAGUGAAUCAUUGAAUCUUUGAACGCAAAUGGCGCUCUUGGGUUCUCCCAGGAGCAUGUCUGUCUGAGUGUCGGAUUUUAUCGAACGCACUCGUGAGUGCGGUAUUGAGGUGUCACGGCGUGUUAGCAUUAAAUCGCCGUGUCCCUUGAAGGACAGCAGCAUUGGACUCGCAUUCUCUAUUGAAACUUGAGUGCGAAGGCUAAAGAUAAUAUUUUCCUUCGCCCAAACAUGCAAUAGCAGAAACAAAAUCCAAUCAAAGCGGUGACAGACAAUGACAACAUCAAAUCUUGACCUCAGAUCAGGCAAGGCUACCCGCUGA